rnacentral:rRNA from 1 species
UACGGAGGGUGCAAGCGUUAUCCGGAAUCAUUGGGUUUAAAGGGUCCGCAGGCGGACUUAUAAGUCAGUGGUGAAAGCCUCUUGCUCAACAAGGGAACUGCCAUUGAUACUGUAAGUCUUGAAUCUGGUCGAAGUGGGCGGAAUAUGACAUGUAGCGGUGAAAUGCUUAGAUAUGUCAUAGAACACCGAUAGCGAAGGCAGCUCACUAGUCCAGCAUUGACGCUCAGGGACGAAAGCGUGGGGAGCAAACAGG